GACGAGGUAGAUAGGGCAGAGGUGGAAGCAUGGCAACAUGUGCAGCUGACUGUCACUAAUAGGUCGAGGGCUUAACCAAG
rnacentral:rRNA from 1 species